GGGAAUGUGGCUCAGUGGUAGAGUGCUUGUGUAGCAUGCAUGAAAUCCUAGGUUCGAUUCCUCAGUUCCA
rnacentral:tRNA from 1 species